rnacentral:rRNA from 1 species
GUCCACGCCGUAAACGAUGUCAACUAGCCGUUGGAAUCCUUGAGAUUUAGUGGCGCAGCUAACGCAUUAAGUUGACCGCCUGGGGAGUACGGCCGCAAGGUUAAACUCAAAUGAAUUGACGGGGGCCCGCACAAGCGGUGGAGCAUGUGGUUUAAUUCGAAGCAACGCGAAGAACCUUACCUGGACUUGACAUGCUGAGAACUUUCCAGAGAUGGAUUGGUGCCUUCGGGAACUCAGACACAGGUGCUGCAUGGCUGUCGU